UACAGAGGUCCCGAGCGUUGUUCGGAUUCAUUGGGCGUAAAGGGUGCGUAGGUGGCGCCGUAAGUGGGGUGUGAAAUCUCGGGGCUUAACUCCGAAACUGCAUUCGAUACUGCCGUGCUUGAGGACUGGAGAGGAGACUGGAAUUUACGGUGUAGCGGUGAAAUGCGUAGAUAUCGUAAGGAAGACCAGUGGCGAAGGCGGGUCUCUGGACAGUUCCUGACGCUGAGGCACGAAGGCCAGGGGAGCAAACGGG
rnacentral:rRNA from 1 species